CCUACGGGAGGCAGCAGUAGGGAAUAUUGCUCAAUGGGGGCAACCCUGAAGCAGCAACGCCGCGUGGAGGAUGAAGGUUUUCGGAUUGUAAACUCCUUUUGUUAGAGAAGAUAAUGACGGUAUCGAACGAAUAAGCACCGGGUAACUCCGUGCCAGCAGCCGCGGUAAAACGGAGGGUGCAAGCGUUACUCGGAAUCAAUGGGCGUAAAGAGCGCGGAGGCGGGAUAGCAAGUCAGAUGUGAAAUCCUAUGGCGUAACCAUAGAACGGCAUUUGAAACUGUUAUUCUAGAGUAUGGGAGAGGUAGGUGGAAUUCUUGGUGUAGGGGUAAAAUCCGUAGAGAUCAAGAGGAAUACUCAUUGCGAAGGCGACCUGCUAGAACAUAACUGACGCUGAUGCGCGAAAGCGUGGGGAGCAAACAGGAUUAGAUACCCCAGUAGUC
rnacentral:rRNA from 1 species